rnacentral:lncRNA from 1 species
UUCAGCAUCCAACACCCAUGUCAUAUAGUUCUUGCCCGAAAUUUCAAGGGCAACGAACUGUCCUUUCAUAAUGUCAGACAUAAUCGAAAAAAUUAAAUUAGGAAGAGAGAAAUACCUUAAAUUUUUCGAAAAGAUUCUUGAGACGGUAGAGUCUCGUGCUGAUAACGUGUUAUGAAAUAAUAUAAGAACAAGAACAAUAAUACAAGAACAAGAACAAUAGAGAGAAAANN